CCUGAUCAGCCAUCCCGCGUGUGCGAUGAAGGCCUUCGGGUUGUAAAGCACUUUUGGCAGGGAAGAAACAGCCCGGGUUAAUACCCCGGGUCAAUGACGGUACCUGCAGAAUAAGCACCGGCUAACUACGUGCCAGCAGCCGCGGUAAUA
rnacentral:rRNA from 1 species